AGAGUUUGAUCCUGGCUCAGAUUGAACGCUGGCGGCAGGCUUAACACAUGCAAGUCGAGCGGUAACAGAGAUAGCUUGCUAUCUGCUGACGAGCGGCGGACGGGCGAGUAAUGCUUGGGAAUAUGCCUUAUGGUGGGGGACAACAGUUGGAAACGACUGCUAAUACCGCAUAACGUCUACGGACCAAAGGGGGGGAUCUUCGGACCUCUCGCCAUUUGAUUAGCCCAAGUGAGAUUAGCUAGUUGGUGAGGUAAAGGCUCACCAAGGCGACGAUCUCUAGCUGGUUUGAGAGGAUGAUCAGCCACACUGGGACUGAGACACGGCCCAGACUCCUACGGGAGGCAGCAGUGGGGAAUAUUGCACAAUGGGCGAAAGCCUGAUGCAGCCAUGCCGCGUGUGUGAAGAAGGCCUUCGGGUUGUAAAGCACUUUCAGUAGGGAGGAAAAGUUCAAGGUUAAUAACCUUGGGCCCUGACGUUACCUACAGAAGAAGCACCGCUAACU
rnacentral:rRNA from 1 species